UACCCUACUCAUCUCCCUCUUACACACUUAGACCAAAGUCACCAAACCCUUCGCACACUUACAGUCUGAGCUCCAUCGCACAACCAAACGCCUACGCACGCCGUCACAGCCGCCUCCGCUGUCAGGAAAGCCUCCCCGUCGUCUUCGCUCCCACCACCGCAGUCGCCGUUUGCUCUCCGGCCUCUGAAGUUGAAGUUCGUCGGCCUGUUCUCCGAAGCUGUCGCGCACUCGCACUGAACUACUGAAGGUCGAAACCCUCGUCCUAAACCCUUGAGUCGCCGUCUGCUUUCUGGCCUCCACAGCAGAAGCCCGUCGCCCUGUUCUACGAAGCCGUCGCACUGAACUACUGAAGGCCGAAGCCCUCCGCCUCCGCAACCGCAAGCUGCACAGCGGCAAACUAUUGUGCUAAUGAAAGAGGACAUGGCCGGACAUAGAGAAGAGCAAAUGCAAGGAGUAUUGCUAUGUUGGAGGUUUGGUUGAGAUGCAAUUUACUUUGUUUUUUCAACAUUUUUGGAAGUGGUUUUAUUAUAUAGAAGUGACAUUACUACUGGGCAGUUGUCCCCAGAAUGCGUUCUUGAUUACUUGGACCUAUCAUCGGAGUAUAUAGCCUCAGAAAUUGCUAAUAGAAUUGAGGCUGCAAUGCAUAUCUGGAGGCAGAAGCACAAAAAGAAGCAAUAAAAACCGUUGCUUAUGAUGAUUUUGUUGAUGCUGGAUCAUUUGCAGUUGCAAGAGAGAAAAUACUUCUAAGUUUGUUUUUCCAAGUGUUGUUUAUGUUUUCUGUAUGAUUUUUGCAUUUUGAAAUCUAUCACGGUCUAAUUUUGGUGAAGGUCUACAUUUGAUCAAAGUCAUUGAAGAAGGUUGUGGAUGCUGCAUUGAUCAAAGCCAUUGAAGUAGUGCCGGAUUUGAAGGCUUAUUUGGGUGCAGCAUACUUAAGUAGUAUCAAUUAAGUAUAGUAUAUAUUUUCAUGACUUUUUUUUUUUUUAUGAACAUGACAAUAAUUUUUGUUGUAAAGAAUUCUGAUGUUUAAAUAUAUUUUCAAUUUGAAAUUUAGUGU